UACGAAGGGGGCUAGCGUUGCUCGGAAUGACUGGGCGUAAAGGGCGCGUAGGCGGAAUGCUUUGUCGGGCGUGAAAUUCCAGGGCUCAACCUUGGGGCUGCGUUCGAGACGGGUAUUCUUGAGUUCGGAAGAGGGUCGUGGAAUUCCCAGUGUAGAGGUGUAAAUUCGUAGAUAUUGGGAGGAACACCAGUGGCGAAGGCGGCUCACUGGACCGGAACUGACGCUGAGGCGCGAAAGCGUGGGGAGCAAACGGG
rnacentral:rRNA from 1 species